GCGCCCAUAGCUCAAUUGGAUAGAGCAUCUGACUACGAAUCAGAAGGUUGGAGAUUCGACUUCUUCUGGGCGCACCA
rnacentral:tRNA from 1 species